rnacentral:ncRNA from 1 species
CGUCUCCUCCACCUCCUCCUUUGGUGGAUUCAGCCCGAGCCUCAGAUGCUCGGGCUUUUUUUC